CUCUCCUCGUGUCCACGUGGCAUUUUCAAACGUGGGACCUCCUAAUCUAUAUCACUAAACCCAUCCACUCAUAUUAUCUCUCUUUCUAUCAUCUAAAAUCCAAAAUGUUCGUCCAUUUUUUUUUUUCUGUUCAUAAACAAAAACUGCAUUGCCUUUUAAUUUAUUCUUCUUCUAAUCCAUACAAAUGAUUAUGGAACUAUAAAUCUAUAAUAAUAAUACAAUUAACCACAAAAUAAAAUAUAUCUUAGUAUUAUAAGAUAUGACUUUUGGAGUUAGGGGGUGUCUAAUACAAAUAUUAUGGU